UACGGAGGAUCCAAGCGUUAUCCGGAUUUAUUGGGUUUAAAGGGUGCGUAGGUGGCUUUGUAAGUCAGUGGUGAAAGUUUUCAGCUUAACUGGAAAAUUGCCAUUGAUACUGCAGGGCUUGAGUACAGAUGAGGUAGGCGGAAUGUGUCAUGUAGCGGUGAAAUGCAUAGAUAUGACACAGAACACCGAUUGCGAAGGCAGCUUACUAAACUGAUACUGACACUGAGGCACGAAAGCGUGGGGAUCAAAC
rnacentral:rRNA from 1 species